UUUUCCAGUUCUUUUUGCUUUUCUUGUCUGGUAUGUGUAGUUCUAACAGUGGUUCUUGACCGGCCACACAGAAAUUUCUCUGUUCACUUAGAAAGGCCAUCCUGAGCAUAGGGCUGGUUCUGAAAACACCAGAAGACAAU